AACAUGAAUCUGCAACCGUAUGGCUGAAGCUGAGCAAGCCCCACUGGGUUUGCCUCCAGCCUAGCGCAGGAGGUUGGGUGCUCUCUGAUCUUUCCCGUUGCACGACUGAGGGUCAGAAGAGCAGCUCUCAAGAAGUCCCUUUCUGUCCCUGCGGAGACACUUCAUGGCACUGGAGGUGCCGGAAACUUCUUAGUAAAGUUAUCCUGCGACCUCACCUUUCCAAGAAGCUGAAGAGCAUAUUAUAAGCCUUAUUACAGGAGAGCUGCUGAACCCUUGAAUGAACCCUGAAAUAGGACAUGGAAUCAGAAGAUGACUCCUGUUUCUAUGGAAAGAAGAACCUGGGUCUACUAGUGCCGUGUUCUUGAUGAAGGUGGUUCUCCUCUCUUCUUGGUCACCCCACCUCUUCAGAAACCCAGAGAGAUUUCUGAGAUGGUGAAAUGGGCCAGAUGUAAAGGAUGACAGCGGCCACAAGAUGCCGGGGAGCUUUGCUGGGGGUUGGAUGACCACACACUUCAUUCCACAUCUGAACCACUCUCACCCGCAAGUCAGAGUAUUAAGCAGAGAACCCCCCUGCGCCCCCAGAGAGCUGGAGACGUUUUCUGGCAGAGAAGCUCAGAGGCAAGCUGCUUCGAGAAGUUCCUCUGUGUCUUCCCAGUCUCCACCCUGGGCGAGUCUGUGGCUGAGAAGCUGGCCUGCUCCAGCUGUAGGGGAGGCAAGUUCUAAACCUCAGGUGCCCCCGUCACCCCUGCCCAGCGAUCAGAUCAGUGCUCUGUGGCUUCUCCCCCAACUAACAUCUCCCCUGACCACGCAAGGCUGAGCAUCAGGAUCUCAUUUUUAAAUUAUACGUCACUGGGCACAAAUAUAUUCAAUAUCCAUUUGGCUUUGAAAUCUAUUUUAAUCUAGCAAUUGCACUUCUGGGAAUUUAUCUUACAGAACUAUUGGAACAAGUGACCCAGAGUGCUUGUAGUGGCUAAACUCAGAAGCAACCAAUGGCUCAAAAACAGUAUGCUUUUUAGGAAAACAAAACUACCAAAGGAAAUGCAUCUGAUACUGUGUUUGAACUGGUCUGACAAGCCCUCCUGAUAAGACGCACAGCCCAAGGAAGGCCUGGAUACCAUGGAAAAAAUGGUCACUGUCAGGACUUCCUGUCCUGAUCCCACUCCAGCUCGAUCCUACUCUCAUUCCCUUCUGAAGGGGAGCCGUGGGACCUCUUCGUUACCCACUGUUGAGGGAAGCAAACCUCUUCCCUGAGCUUGCCAUGAAGAUGACUCACCCCAUCCUUCCUUCAGGCCAGGGAGAAGAAAAAGAUAGCAGUUUUUGGCAAUUCAGCCUGUUAGAAAAGGGGGUCUAGGGCUCACCCCUCUUCCAGUCAACUGCAGGCCAAGGAUGGAUGCAUCAAAGAGAAGCCAAAGGCAAAGCAAUUCUGGACUGCAGCUGGCAAAGGGCUUAACUCCGGGCAAG